rnacentral:misc_RNA from 1 species
AAUGCUCUGGGUGUGGCUGGAGGGCAACCUCGACAACCCAAACAAAAAACAUGCAACCCCUCCAAUUUAACCGAUCGCCCUGAUCGUAUUGAAAACCGUGGCUAUCGCAGCCCCUGUUUCGAAAACAAACUGAAAAACUCUCAACAACGGAUAUCUUGGCUCUCGCAACGAUGAAGAACGCAGCGAAAUGCGAUACGUAGUGUGAAUUGCAGAAUUCCGUGAAUCAUCGAAUGUUUGAACGCAAAUUGCGCCCGAGGCUUCGGCCGAGGGCAUGUCUGCUUGAGCGCCGCUGGACACCCCUCGUCCCAAUUUCUCAAUCUCACAAUGUGGGUGACGAGAGAAGGACGGAUUGAUGGUCGCCUCGAACACAUGAGACCGAAUGGCGGCGCAAGCCCUUUUCUCCUCAUCGAGCCGGCUGGAAAGAAAAAGCUCGGCCCGAUGCGUACCAUAACGGCACACUCGGCGUGGACGAAGCAAUCCCCUAGACCCCUGUAACAAGGGCGUCGCGGGAAUAGUGGAUGUUGCCCGGAUGCCGUAUGCGUGCGCAUUUGCGCGUCGAGACUUGAGCUGUGCCAACGAUCGUGCCAUGUGCACGAUCGUGGAACCCCCAAACCCUUGGCCUCAAGUCAGGCAGGAGCACCCGCUGAAUUUAAGCAU